AAGCUGCGUUCGAACGAUAAAAACGAUUUUUGUGUAAAAUCCGAUUCUAAGCAAGAUGAUAUUAAAGUUAAUCUAUGCAGGGAGUUUGCAGCUAUGAUGAAAACCAGAAUAUAGGCGCAAGCUGAAAUCUGACGUUCGUACGAAGAAACUGAUUUACGUCUAAGUGCUGAUUCGUAAAUCACUUGAUUAGGCAAGAUGCAGUUUAAGCAAGAGUAUGAAGGCAGUUUGCAGUUAUGGUAAAGCUCAAAACGUAAAC
rnacentral:lncRNA from 1 species